rnacentral:rRNA from 1 species
UACGGGAGGCAGCAGUGGGGAAUAUUGCACAAUGGGCGCAAGCCUGAUGCAGCCAUGCCGCGUGUAUGAAGAAGGCCUUCGGGUUGUAAAGUACUUUCAGUCGUGAGGAAGGUGUUAAGGUUAAUAACCUUAGCAAUUGACGUUAGCGACAGAAGAAGCACCGGCUAACUCCGUGCCAGCAGCCGCGGUAAUACGGAGGGUGCGAGCGUUAAUCGGAAUUACUGGGCGUAAAGGGCACGCAGGCGGUUAAUUAAGUUGGAUGUGAAAUCCCCGGGCUUAACCUGGGAAUGGCAUUCAAGACUGGUUAGCUAGAGUCUUGUAGAGGGGGUAGAAUUCCAUGUGUAGCGGUGAAAUGCGUAGAGAUGUGGAGGAAUACCGGUGGCGAAGGCGGCCCCUGGACAAAGACUGACACUCAUGUGCGAAAGCGUGGGGAGCAAACAGGAUUAGAUACC